rnacentral:tmRNA from 1 species
GGGGGUGUUCUUGGAUUCGACGGGGAUAGUUCGAGCGCGGGUUGCGGGUAGUGGGGACGCGUCCGCUUCAACAACGCUAAAGCCUAUUAAAUGGCAACCAACGUACAACUUUAGCAGCAGCUUAAUAACCUGAUCUGCUAAGCUUCUACCUCGCAUCGCCCAUGUGCUAGGAUAGGGGCCCAACCUUAGUGGGAUACGCCGCUCGGUCUCCGCCUGGGGUCGACGGAAGAAGAUAAUCAGGCUGACCUUGGACAUAGCCGGUUACGGGGCGCUGGCCUUGGUGACAUCAAAACUGUGACUACACCCGUAGAUGCCUGUGUGGCGAUAUUUUCGGACAGGGGUUCGACUCCCCUCACCUCCAUAC